rnacentral:misc_RNA from 1 species
UUAAAUGUGAUCUUGGGUGGU